rnacentral:piRNA from 1 species
UGGGAAGACCCCGCUCUGACCAUCCGU